GAACAUUUGGGGAGUUGCCAGGGAAACAAUGUAAAAUGUAGGAGAUAGAUAUUGGAAGCUUGUGCCUGAGCCCUUGAUAUUUGCACUCGAGGCUUCAUAUUGUAGUUAACGCUUCUCCAGCCAACCUGGAUGUGGUUCCCAUGGGAGCCUCUCAACACUGCUCCUUAACUGAGCACAAUGGGCGCUGCUGACCCCUGCAAAAACGGUAUACGCAUCCCCCAUGACUGAAGCCACUGCUUUUGCAGAACUCCCAUGCUGCCAACUCGCCACACAUUGUGAGCCACACAAGUGAAAAACCAAGCCUCAGACUGAACAAUGCAGAAAGCUACUUCUAGGCAACCACUGCAGUAUCAAGAAUUGGGCCCUGAUUCAGCAAGGUGCUUAAGUAUGUGCCUCACUUUAAGCAUGUGAGUAGUCUCAUUGACUUCAGUUGGACUCUCCACAAGCUUAAGUAUUUUGCUGAAUUUGGACCUAUAGCAGGAAGGUACUUUUCCCUUUUAAGGUUUGAAAAGAAAACAUCUUGUGCUCUGUCCAGAGUCUUAUCUGUGGUCAGAGCUGCUGCUGGGUAUUAUUUGAAUUUCAUUUACAGAAAAUAUAUCCUAGUGUUGGAAGAAAGUGUCCUUCGUUGAAGUGCCUGUGAGGGGCAUGGAUAAUGGCUCUGGCAGAAGGAUAAUUUUUAAUAAAAGAAUCUUCAUCUUGAAUAUUAACUACCCAUGGCUGAAGAUUAUAUUGGUCUAUGGCUAACACAGCAAUAUCUGCACUUGAAGCUACAGCGUUGACGGUUCUGAAGAGCUGCUGGUGUCUAGACUUUUAGAAGAAUGUUCUCUUAAGACUUCCAAAGAACUAGUGAUAUCCAGACUUUCUGAAGAAAUGGGUCUAUACCCUUCUGUAGAACUGAUGAUAUCCAAAGUUUUGGAAGAAUGGGUGCUAUAGCCUUUUGAACUGGCAUCUCUUAUGAUUAUCGCCUGCAUGGAUCCGAAUGUUAAUGGAACAAAGCCUUCACUGUCAGUUGUGAGAACAAUCCAGGUUGAACCUAUGAGGACAUUAAAAUAUCUAUUUAUUAACAAUA